rnacentral:rRNA from 1 species
AUGGAGCGUCUCGGACGCCGGGCCGCCGCACGGGCUGCGAGGGAGGCGCGGCAGCAGCAGCAGCAGCCGGUGGUUGCUGGUGCGGCGGAGGCGGACCACGUCGGCCGCCGGGCUGCGAGGCGAGCUGUGAUUGAGGCGCGGGGCGCGCAGCAGCCGCCCGUCGCUGCCCCUGCCAGAAAUGUACUUCUCCCCGAAAUCCACCUCAGCGACUGGAUGCGGGGAAACCGCAACCGCAAGGAGAUGGGGAAGGUCACCACCCUGCCAGCUAUGGUUCCUCCAAUCGAAGCAAUAAGGUACCAAUUUAAGAAGAUCCACAGGACAGGUGAUGAAGUGGUGGAUGCUUACAACAGAGAGCUUAUUGAUUUAUUUAACCAAACAGUAGAUCAGAGAGGGGAGGUAUACCAUUGGCUUCUACAGACCGACUCGCCAGAAGUGCGCAAGGAGUUUACCCGCUGUGGUCGUGCUCUUGCUGGGCUGUCCCUAAAGAUUGGACUGAAGGAGGCAGAAAUUCAAGCGGCUGAGGGAGUUCCAAUCGAAAAACCAAAACACUUCAAAGAUUUUCCCAAGCUCGUGACACAGUAA